rnacentral:rRNA from 1 species
AUUGAACGCUGGCGGCAUGCCUUACACAUGCAAGUCGAACGGCAGCACGGGGCAACCUGGUGGCGAGUGGCGAACGGGUGAGUAAUGCAUCGGAACGUACCUUUCAGUGGGGGAUAACGUAGCGAAAGUUACGCUAAUACCGCAUAUUCUGUGAGCAGGAAAGCAGGGGAUCGCAAGACCUUGCGCUGAUUGAGCGGCCGAUGUCAGAUUAGCUAGUUGGUGAGGUAAAGGCUCACCAAGGCGACGAUCUGUAGCGGGUCUGAGAGGAUGAUCCGCCACACUGGAACGGAGACACGGUCCAGACUCCUACGGGAGGCAGCUGUGGGGAAUUUUGGACAAUGGGGGCAACCCUGAUCCAGCCAUGCCGCGUGAGUGAAGAAGGCCUUCGGGUUGUAAAGCUCUUUCGGCCGGGAAGAAAUCGCACGGGCUAAUACCCUGUGUGGAUGACGGUACCGGAAUAAGAAGCACCGGCUAACUACGUGCCAGCCGCCGCUGUAAGAC